rnacentral:rRNA from 1 species
AGAGUUUGAUCCUGGCUCAGAUUGAACGCUGGCGGUAUGCUUAACACAUGCAAGCCGAACGGGGGUAGCAAUACCCUAGUGGCGGACGGGUGAGUAAUACUUAGGAAUCUGCCCAUUAGUGGAGGACAACUCGGGGAAACUCGAGCUAAUACCGCAUACGCCCUACGGGGGAAAGCGGAGGAUUUCGGGGCUUCGCGCUAUUGGAUGAGCCUAAGCCGGAUUAGCCAGUUGGUAGGGUAAAAGCCUACCAAGGCGACGAUCCGUAGCUGGUCUGAGAGGACGAUCAGCCACACUGGGACUGAGACACGGCCCAGACUCCUACGAGAGGCAGCAGUGGGGAAUAUUGGACAAUGGGGGCAACCCUGAUCCAGCAAUACCGCGUGUGUGAAGAAGGCCUGCGGGUUGUAAAGCACUUUCAGUAGAGAAGAAAAGCCUAGGGUUAAUACCCCUGGGUCUUGACGUUACCUACAGAAGAAGCUCCGGCUAACUCCGUGCCAGCAGCCGCGGUAAUACGGAGUGAGCGAGCGUUAAUCGGAAUUACUGGGCGUAAAGCGCGCGUAGGCGGUUUGAUUAGUCGGAUGUGAAAGCCCUGGGCUCAACCUAGGAAUUGCAUUCGAUACUGGUUAUCUAGAGUAUGGUAGAGGGAAGUUGAAUUCCAGGUGUAGCGGUUAAAUGCGUAGAUAUCUGGAGGAACAUCAAUGGCGAAGGCAACUUCCUGGACCAAUACUGACGCUGAGGUGCGAAAGCGUGGGGAGCAAACAGGAUUAGAUACCCUGGUAGUCCACGCCGUAAACGAAGUCAAAUAGCCGUUGGGGAUCUUAGUAUUCUUAGUGGCGAAGCUAACGCGAUAAGUUGACCGCCUGGGGAGUACGGCCGCAAGGUUAAAACUCAAAGGAAUUGACGGGGGCCCGCACAAGCGGUGGAGCAUGUGGUUUAAUUCGAUGCAACGCGAAGAACCUUACCAGGCCUUGACAUCCCCGGAACUUGGCAGAGAUGCCUUGGUGCCCUCGGGAAUCGGGUGACAGGUGCUGCAUGGCUGUCGUCAGCUCGUGUCGUGAGAUGUUGGGUUAAGUCCCGUAACGAGCGCAACCCUUGUCCUUAGUUGCCAGCACGUAAUGGUGGGAACUCUAAGGAGACUGCCGGUGACAAACCGGAGGAAGGUGGGGAUGACGUCAAGUCCUCAUGGCCCUUACGGCCUGGGCUACACACGUGCUACAAUGGUCGGUACAGAGGGUGGCCAAGCCGCGAGGUGGAGCUAAUCCCAGAAAACCGAUCGUAGUCCGCAUUGCAGGCUGCAACUCGCCUGCAUGAAGCCGGAAUCGCUAGUAAUCGUGGGUCAGCAUACCACGGUGAAUAUGUUCCUGAGCCUUGUACACACCGCCCGUCACGCCAUGGGAGUGGGUUGCAAAAGAAGUGGGUAGACUAACCUUCGGGAGGUCGCUCACCGCUUUGUGAUUCAUGACUGGGGUGAAGUCGUAACAAGGUAGCC